GGGUAAAGUUAAUAAAUUCCUUGAGCUUCUCGUCUCCAAGAUAUGACUUUAAGCUCUGUUUCCCAAUAAGCUUGCCAUCUUUAUGUGCUACAAGGCCAUUUUCAGAGAAAACAUAAUCGUAGUCCUUUGUAACUGUAUUGCCAAGCUGUUCUGAUAUCUUUACAAGGUCAGAACCUCCAACAACUCCAACAGUAACAACCUUUCUAAGUUCCUGCAUGAAUUUCAACAUUUGUGGAGUAGAUUCCUUUCUGGGUGCGGUAAGAGUCCCAUCAACAUCAAACAGAGCAAUUAAACCAGCUUUCCUUGCAGCCAUUUUUGAUCUUUCUAUACUUCUCCCCAACUCUUCACAGUAUUUAACAGCUAAACAUUCAACCUUAUCAAGUAUUCUGCAAUCGACGGGCAAUGAAAUUCGCCGGUGACGGCCCGGCAAGAAAUCACCGGAUUCUGAAUCUGAAUCUGAAUCUCAAUCUUCGACGUAGAAUUAAAGAGAUGUUUGAGAAUGAAGAGAAAUUGCUUUACUU
rnacentral:misc_RNA from 1 species